rnacentral:rRNA from 1 species
CCUGGCUCAGGAUUAACGCUGGCGGUAUGCCUAAUACAUGCAAGUCGAACGAGAAUCUUCGGAUUUUAGUGGCGAACGGGUGAGUAAUGUAUGUCUAAUCUGCCCUAUAGAUCGGAAUAACCAUUGGAAACGAUGGCUAAUACUAAAUAUGAUUUAUUUUGGCAUCAAUAUAAGUUGAAAGGAGCGUUUGCUCCGCUAUAGGAUGAGGACAUAUUGCAUUAGCUUGUUGGUGAGGUAAAAGCUCACCAAGGCAAUGAUGCAUAGCCGAGCCGAGAGGUUGAACGGCCACAAUGGGACUGAGACACGGCCCAUACUCCUACGGGAGGCAGCAGUAGGGAAUUUUUCACAAUGGACGAAAGUCUGAUGAAGCAAUACCGCGUGAGGGAUGACGGUUUUCGGACUGUAAACCUCUGUCAUAAGGGAAUAACAUAUUAAAUAGGAAAUGAUUUAGUUCUGACGGUACCUUAUUAGAAAGUCACGGCUAACUAUGUGCCAGCAGCCGCGGUAAUACAUAGGUGGCAAGCGUUAUCCGGAUUUAUUGGGCGUAAAGAGUGCACAGGUGGUUAUAUAAGUUUGGUGUUAAAUGCUGAAGCUCAACUUCAGUAUGCAUUGAAAACUGUAUAACUAGAAUGCAGGUGGGGAUAGUGGAAUUCGAUGUGUAGCGGUGGAAUGCAUAAAUAUAUCGAGGAACACCAGUAGCGAAGGCGGCUAUCUGAACUGUAAUUGACACUUAAGCACGAAAGCGUGGGGAGCAAAUAGGAUUAGAUACCCUAGUAGUCCACGCCGUAAACGAUCUAGACUAGACGUUGGUAUAAACCAGUGUCGCAGCUAACGCGUUAAGUCUAGCGCCUGGGUAGUAUGCACGCAAGUGUGAAACUCAAAGGAAUUGACGG